GAGCCAUUGGCUCGGGGAGACUGAUGGUGGGUGCUUUACUUCAGAUACCCAGAUCCUGAUUCAGCAAAGUACUUUAAGCACAUGCUUAAGUCCCAUUGACUUGCUUUGCCGAAUCAAGGCCACUGAUUUGAAUGUAUUGUCUAUGUUCUGUAACUUUUCAAAAUGAAUAAUGAACAUUGUGUGUAAUAGGUCCCUUGCUGCUAUAAAGCUGUCCAUGUUUUCCACUAAUACAUUUAUCAUUCAAAGGUUGGUGAAAAACCUGAACAGAAGAAAAGAAGGCUGGAUUCCUGUCAACAGUUUGCAGAUAGUAAUCGGCGACUAUAGGUUUCGGACUGCCAAAGUCGCAGAUGCUGCCCUGUGUAACACAAGAAAGUUUAGUUCCCCCUGAAUUAAAGGUGAACUAGUAGCAUCCUAUUUUUGAUGCUCCUUUGGAGACUUUGAACUAGGUGUUACAGAGAAACAGCACCAUAGCUGGAAUUACCCUGUACUAUUCAUCACAUUCACAGAAUUUCACAGCUUCAUCUGCACGGACCGGGACUGCAGUUUGUCACAGUCAUAAACAGUUUGUCAUAGUCAUAAAGGAAGACAUUCUUUGCAACUUCAUUCUCCCCUCUCCCCCCCCCGCGGAAAGCACAGUAUUUUAUUUUUGCCUGCUGUUUUUCCAUGACAUCCAUUAAGUUUCAUCAGAGAAGUAAAUCGACAGUGUCCUGACACUUCAUUUAGGUGCCUGAAAUUGAAUUUACAGGUUGAAAGCUUUACCUAUUUAUUUGUUGUGGUCGAUUGCAAAUGAAAGAGUUCAGUUUUAGUAAACCAAAAAAAUAAAAAAAGCCACCUUUUCUAGUGAAUUCAUCGUAUGGAAUGGGUUUAGAUAUAUUGCAGCUGUGUGAAUGUAAUGUACAGUAAGAUCAUCUUCUGGCUGGGUCAUAUGAUGAUGAUGCAAUAAUGCUAAAGAAUUUCCUUUUGCACUAAAUAGCUGAUUCAAAGCCCAUUGUAGUCAGUAGAAAGACUCCUGUUGAUGUCAAUGGGCUGGGGAUCAGGCCCACGGACUGACAACUCAGGGUUGUCAAGAGUCACUUAGAGUUCCAGGGGUAACACCUGUAUCUAGCAAGUUUACAUGUAAUGUAUUGUCCUUCUGGAACACGUGCCAUAACUAUAAAUUACACGUCCACAUUUGCACUACAGAUGUUCUUCUUCUAAGACUGUACUUGUCAGCAUCUUUAUUGAGAACUUACCUUGUGAAUUUUUGAAAAAAAAGAAUAUUACAAUGUUUCAUAAUUUAUUUUGUCUGUCUAGUUUUCUUUUUGUAAUAUGUAUGUACAGGUGGUUUGACUUUUAAACAGGGCUGUAUAAAGAUAAUUCUGAUUGCAUUGAAAACAGGGUUAGUGGUAUGCAUGCAAUAUCGAAUUUACACACUCUCAUUGGAUUGAAAUGUUUUAUACUGUGGAUUAAUGAGGGACCCUUUUGAUGUGAAUUUGAUUUGUGAACCAGGAAUUCUGAGUUGUAGUGUAAAGUUGUUGUAUAAAACAUCAUUUUUAUUUUCCAGUGCCCGUUUUUGUACAAAGGAAUUCCUGAGCUACUGUAUGACUGUCAUUGGAAUUGUACGGUACAUUUCAUAGCAUGGUAGUACACAGAACUGAUGCUGUUUGGCACGUCUCUGACAUAACAUUACUCAUCCAGCCUCAAAAAUAUGAAACUUGUACAGUAGAUCAGCUGCAUUUGAAUUAAGGAUCACGGCAAAUACUAGAGAUCCCAAUAUUGUCCAAUUACUGGCAUUCUUAAUGAACAGAUUUGAAAUCAUCCAAAUACAUUUCUACCUAUUUUAAAUAGGAUCACAGAGCACUUGUUAAGAGUAAAAAUAAGAUUCUGUUCAAUUACUAUUGGGGCUACUUAUAGUAGUAACAAUUCUUGUGGUAAAAAGUACACAUUUUUGAGGUACAAGUCUAAAUAGCAAUGUCUCAAUCAUAGCAUACAUUGCAUAUUAAAAUGGUUUGAAUUUUCUCUCUCUUCUAUAGUCUUGAAUCUAAGCUUUGACUAAUUUAUGAGACUGAUUAGUUCUGCAAAUCUGACUGUACAAUCUUAGACAUUUUACAUUUGGACCUUUGCACAAUAAGUGUUACGUUACCUUAAGUAUCUGGUUUAAUGAGGGUGUUCAUGUAUAUGGUACUAUCCAGCAGAGGGUUUUCUCUGUCUGCAAAUUUAAAUGAACUAUAUUGUAUAUGUACUUGUAAAAAUGUGUUAAAUCUAUAUUUAAAAAAAUUUAAACAUUGUUAAAUAAAUUCAUAUGAGAACACUUAA